GAUGAACGCUGGCGGCGUGCCUAAUACAUGCAAGUCGAGCGAACGGACGAGAAGCUUGCUUCUCUGAUGUUAGCGGCGGACGGGUGAGUAACACGUGGAUAACCUACCUAUAAGACUGGGAUAACUUCGGGAAACCGGAGCUAAUACCGGAUGAUAUUUUGAACCGCAUGGUUCAAAAUUGAAAGACGGUCUUGCUGUCACUUAUAGAUGGAUCCGCGCUGCAUUAGCUAGUUGGUAAGGUAACGGCUUACCAAGGCAACGAUGCAUAGCCGACCUGAGAGGGUGAUCGGCCACACUGGAACUGAGACACGGUCCAGACUCCUACGGGAGGCAGCAGUAGGGAAUCUUCCGCAAAGGGCGAAAGCCUGACGGAGCAACGCCGCGUGAGUGAUGAAGGUCUUCGGAUCGUAAAACUCUGUUAUUAGGGAAGAACAUAUGUGUAAGUAACUGUGCACAUCUUGACGGUACCUAAUCAGAAAGCCACGGCUAACUACGUG
rnacentral:rRNA from 1 species